rnacentral:tRNA from 2 species
GGGCUGAUAAUUUAAUGGUAGAAUAUUUGAUUUGCAAUCAAAUUACCUGAGUUCGAUUCUCAGUCGGUCCA